rnacentral:rRNA from 1 species
GACGAACGCUGGCGGCGUGCUUAACACAUGCAAGUCGAACGAAGUGGCGAACGGGUGAGUAAUACGUGGGUAACCUGCCCUCCUUUUUGGGAUAAGCCUUGGAAACGGGGUCUAAUACUGGAUAGUGGGGGAUGGGCUCACGGCCUAUCAGCUUGUUGGUGGGGUGAUGGCCUACCAAGGCGGGGACGGGUAGCCGGCCUGAGAGGGUGACCGGCCACGUUGGGACUGAGAGACGGCCCAGACUCUUACGGGAGGCAGCAUUGGGGAAUAUUGCACAAUGGACGGAAGGCUGAUGCAGCUACGCCGCGUGGGGGAUGAAGGCUUUCGGGUUGUAACCUCCUUUUGAUGCUGAACGGGUAGGUGUUGGAUAAGCGCCGGCUAACUACGUGCCAGCCGCCGCGGUAAUUC